rnacentral:lncRNA from 1 species
CAAAGGAGGUUUGAGAGCAGCCCGGCCUCAAGUGCCCCUCGGGAUCCCCGAGUGCCCCCUGGGGACCCCAGUCUGCUCCCCCGUUCCCUCAGAGUUGUCCCGGAAUCCAAGUCCAAGCUCUCUAGAGCCCCAAAUGUCGCCCCAGGCCCCUACGUGCCUCCCAAUUACCUCCCCUUCCCCGGUGUUCCCCUAUAGCGCCUCGGGGACCUCCAACUCGAUGCCACCAGAUCCCAGUCUGCCCAUAAGUGCGUCCCGCAGUCGCUCAAAUUCCUCCCGAGACCACCAGCCCCGCGGGGGGCAGUGCAGGGUCAGCAUUUCGGGGGCCCUCGCCCCAUCCCCAACCCUCUCCUCCCCCCCAGCCAGGCCCUGCUCUGGCCCCGCCCCCGCAGGCCAGAGAGGGCGAAGCCUCCGCUUGGCUCAGCCCCCUGCAGCUCCACCCUCGAUGACCCCCUCGAACGAUGGCGCUUGAGGCGGUGCCGUGGGGAGGAGACAGCGCUGGACACGCCCCUGGUAGGCGGGGCCUUGCUUGGCUCUGCUGCUCCCCAGGGUGCCCUACCGGGAGUGCCACAGGGGCUGUCACGUGACCCGCCGGGGGGCCUGCAGGGGGCCGUGCCCUGGGAAUCACGUGACUUCCCUGAGGCCCUUUGGCCAAUCAGGAGACACUUCCGCGAGCACCAGGUGGCGCCUUCACCCCAGGCCAUCUCCCAGGAACCCUUAUGGCAGGAGCCCUGUUGGAGGUCACAGGUCUCCCACAAGGCCCUCUGGCCAAUGAGGAGCAGUUCUCCGGAUACCCUGCUGGGGGCACUAUACUCACAGUCCCGUGAUGCCCACGAGGCCUCGUGGCAAAUCAGCAGCAGCUGCUGUGCAUCUCUGCACCAGGGGGCGCCACCCGGUGGAAAGCGAGGGUCCCACGAACCUUUGCGGCAGGAGCCAUUUUGGGGGUCACAUGACUGCCUCGGGCAUCUGCAGUGUGUGCCCUGGUGGGAAUCACGUGACUCCCAGGGUGCCCCGCCAUCUGCACCAGAGGCGCUUCCGGAGCCCCUUCGCCGGGGAGGGCUGGGCUUCAGGUCACGUGACCCGUGUGAGGCCCCUCAGCCAAUCAGGAGCAGUGCUCAUGAUGCCUUACAGGAGGCGCCGUUGCAGGAGCCACUGGGCCCUCUGGGGGACCACCUCCUCUGGAUGCUGCGAUGCCACCGCCGGGCGAUAAGCGGACGCCUUCGGUAGGACACCUCCGCCCUCAAAUUU